rnacentral:rRNA from 1 species
UUCCGGUUGAUCCUGCCGGACCCGACUGCUAUCAGAGUGGGACUAAGCCAUGCGAGUCAACGCCGAAAGGCGUGGCAUACGGCUCAGUAACACGUAGUCAACAUGCCCAAAGGACGUGGAUAACCUCGGGAAACUGAGGAUAAACCGCGAUAGGCCAAGGUUUCUGGAAUGAGCCAUGGCCGAAAUCUAUAUGGCCUUUGGAUUGGACUGCGGCCGAUCANGCUGUUGGUGAGGUAAUGGCCC